CCUACGGGUGGCAGCAGUGGGGAAUAUUGCACAAUGGGGGGAACCCUGAUGCAGCAACGCCGCGUGGGUGAAGAAGUACUUCGGUAUGUAAAGCCCUGUUAGCAGGGAAGAAAAUGACGGUACCUGACCAAGAAGCCCCGGCCAACUACGUGACAGCAGCCGCGGUAAUAAGUAGGGGGCAAGCGUUAUCCGGAUGUACUGGGUGUUAAGGGAGCGUAGACGGCAAGGCAAGUCUGGAGUGAGAGCCCGUGGCUCAACCACGGGACUGCUGUGGAAACUGUGUUGCUGGAGUGCAGGAGGGGUAAGCGGAAUUCGGAGUGUAGCGGUGAAAUGCGUAGAUAUUAGGAGGAACACCGGUGGCGAAGGCGGCUUACUGGACUGUAACUGACGUUGAGGCUCGAAGGCGUGGGGAGCAAACAGGAUUAGAUACCCCUGUAGUC
rnacentral:rRNA from 1 species